GUGGUAAUGCCGGAUGCUCCAUCUCACCGCAUGGUCUGUCUGGGAAAGCCUUUGCGGCAUGGGAUGGGGUCGCGUCCUAUCAGCUUGAUGGCGGGGUAACGGCCCACCAUGGCUUCGACGGGUAGCCGGCCUGAGAGGGCGACCGGCCACAUUGGGACUGAGAUACGGCCCAGACUCCUACGGGAGGCAGCAGUGGGGAAUAUUGCACAAUGGGCGCAAGCCUGAUGCAGCGACGCCGCGUGAGGGAUGGAGGCCUUCGGGUUGUAAACCUCUUUUGUUAGGGAGCAAGGCAUUUUGUGUUGAGUGUACCUUUCGAAUAAGCACCGGCUAACUACGUGCCAGCAGCCGCGGUAAUACGUAGGGUGCAAGCGUUAUCCGGAAUUAUUGGGCGUAAAGGGCUCGUAGGCGGUUCGUCGCGUCCGGUGUGAAAGUCCAUCGCUUAACGGUGGAUCCGCGCCGGGUACGGGCGGGCUUGAGUGCGGUAGGGGAGACUGGAAUUCCCGGUGUAACGGUGGAAUGUGUAGAUAUCGG
rnacentral:rRNA from 1 species